CUGCCCAGAGCCACAUACAGCAUGGUCUUGAAUGCCUCCAGGCGUUCAACUGCCAACAACCUCCUUGGGCAGUUAGAAUGUAUGUCUAUGUCUUCACAUCCCCCUGAGCUGUGCUGUGGUCAGCCUCCUCACUGCAAUGAACAGUUCUGUGUUUGCUUACCAAUACAUUUGGAGUGACUUUGUAUAAAUAUCCACAAGGCUGAGGGGAAAGUCUGGAGAAAGUAAGAAGUACUCUUGGUGGAAGACAGCCAGGCUGUGGAAUACUUAACAAAAAGGACAUUGGCUGUAGACCCUGAGCAAUGCAUCCAUGUGCGCUGACAAAGCUGUGUGACAUCAUUGCAAAGCUGCUGUUGAUUAUCUUGAAUGAUAUGGCAAUGGGGAGAGAUUUGUGAGAACUGGAGGAAAACAGUCUUGAAAGAGGGCAAGUAGGAGAACCCAGAAAAGCAGAGGCUGGUCGGUCUCACCUCAGUCUCUGGGAAGGCGGUGGGGCAAAUAAUUCUGGAAAGUAUUAUGGAAAUACUUGGAAUACUUGGAAAGAAAGUGAUGGUUAUUAGUGAGCACAACUUUACUAACAGGAAGUACUGCUUAACCAGCCUGAUAAUCUGUGGUGUGGUGGAAGGACUGGUUUGGUAAAUAAGAAGACAAUAGCGGAUGCUGUCUACCUGAAUCUCACUAACACUUUUGAUGCUGUCUCCUCAGACAAAACUGAUGAAAUAUGGGCUGGAUGAACAAUGACAUUGUACUGUAAAUUGGCUGAGUGGCACAUGGGUCUGGUUGGAGUCUAGUAUCUAUCAUGUGUGUAAUCCAGAGAUCAAUACUGGGUCAAAUACUGUUUCAUCAUUGUCAUUAGUGAUUUGCAUGAUGAGGUAGAGUGUGCAUGUUUGCACGUGAUACAAAUGAACUGGGAGAACUGGCAGAAACAAGGGAGUGUCAUGCUGCCAUCCAGAGGGACCUUGACCUCAAGUGGUUCAGCAAAGGGAAAUGCAAAUUCUGGCACUUGGGGAAGAAUAAUAUCAUAAACUAGUACUUGUUAUAGUUCAAACAGGUGGAAAUCAUCUUUGCAGAAAAGAACAUGGGUUUCCUGAUGGACACCAAGGUGAACAUGAGCUAGAAAUGUGUCUGUCUUUUCUGCAAUGAAAACUAAUGAUAUUGUGAGCUGCAUUAGGAAAAUAUUGUUAGAAGGCUGAAAAGAGGAAAUGCUCUGCUCUGGUGAGGUUGUGUCUGGAGCACAGUGUCCAGGCCUGGAUCCCCCAGUACAAGAGAGACAUGAAUGCAACUAAGAGUGUCCAUUGAAAGGCAUCAAUAACAAAAGGCCUGGAACAACUCCUCUACAACCAGAAGCUGAGAAAGUUGAGACUGUGCAGCCUGGAGAGGAGGGUCAUAUCAAUGUAUAUAAAUGGCUGAAGGUGCAAAGAAGGCUCUUUUUAGUGGUGUUCAGUGCCAGAACAAGAGGCAAUGGACCCAAACCAGAACAGACUUCCUCUGAACAUGAGGUAACAUUUCUGUGCUGUGUGGCAGAACACUGGCACAAGCUGCCCAGAGAGUUUGUGAGAUCUCCCUCUUGGAGAUCUUCAAAAGCCAUCUGGACAUGGUCCUGGGCAACAUGUUCUGGGUGUCUGUGCUUGAGCAGAGGGGGUGGCUGUUGCUGUGUGCUUCCUCGCUAACGCCUACAACAGGUGGCCAAGGUGACCUUCAGAGUUCCUUCCCAAGUUCAAUCAUCCUGCAGUUCUAUGAUAAAUAUUGUAAAGAAGUAAAACACGUAUAAGGUCCUACAAAUAUUUUACUGGUAGCUGGAGUCUGUGAGGCAUGCCUAAAUUUCUCUGAACUGAUGCUCGGCACCUAUGUUUAAACAGCCAAGUGUGUCUUGGCAGUAAUUUCUCCACCUGUUCUACUUGGUGUUGGAAGGAACAGGUAACAAAGCAGGUGCAGGAUGUGGAUCCUGUUGAAGAGGAAGAAGAUAUUUGAUUUAUAGGUGUUGGCCAGUGUGGUGUUUCAAAUGACGCAUUGUGGAAAUUCCUGUAGUUCUUUUCCAAGACUGAACAUUUUACAGUGUUUCUUUUUGCAUUAUUAUUAUUAUUUUUUUUCAUGAGCAAGUUUUGAUUCUAUUGUCCGAUGGCUUGGAUCAUUGUAGAAGCACAUAUAUAUUUAGCUCUUUCUGUGAAAAGGGACUAUUUGAAGGCUGUAGCCUCAAAUAUCAAGGUAGAUGCUGGGAGCCUAGAUAAUUAUGUACAUCUGAGCCUUACUGCUUGAUUUAGAGACUACGGUUCCCAGCCAAGUGCCUGGGACUUGAUGCUUUUCAUGAGCAAGUCUAGGUCUGCAAACUUUGAUGGAAGAAUUGCAAUCAAGGGUGGACACUGGUGUCUUGAAACUGAAGGGCUAGGAUUGGGGUCCUUUUGGGAUGUGGAGUGUGCUGAACUGCAGGAAAAGUCCUUUUAUUGUUGAGAGAAAGUAUUCAGGAUUGUGCUACAAAUGCUCUGUAGGUACACAGUCUUUUGAUCUGCCAUCUCUGGCUUCUUGUUUUUGACUACUAACUAGACUGAAACAAAAAUCUACUGGAACAGAUAUCAUUUUACUGGAUUCCUCUCUGGGGAAAGAUUUAGAUCUGUAUUUGAUUUCUGCUUCCUGGUGCAAACUAUGAUUGACAGGACAGUGUUAUUUUCAUGACCAAGUUUUUCUAUUAGAUCAGUCUCAAAAAACAGAAGGCCUAAUUCUGUCAGGAGAGUUUCAGUAAAAUCUGAAAUAUGUUUCGCCUGAAAUGUAUUGAUCUACACUCCAACAGAUCUACAUUCCCUUUGCAGUGCCCCAGGGUGUUUGUCUUCAUAAAUGUCAUGGAUGUGCAUCCUUUCAGAAAGGAUAAGGAAGGAUAUGUGGCACAAGUUUCAAGCAUUCUUGGAAUUAAAUAAAGUAAAAAGGAGAAACAAACAAACAAACAAACUAAAAAAAAAACCACUUCAGCACUUCAAAUACAGAAAGACACUGCUUUCAGAUGAGCCUCAGAAGUUGCUUAGUUCCAGGAUUCCUCUUGGCUCUAGCACCUACUGCACUAUGAUCCAGCCAAGACCUUUUGCUUACAGGGGCAGCAGUGCAUCUGGAGAAGGUCUUGUUAAGGUGCUCAGCUUUGUCCUGAAGCAGAGAACUCAAAGGCUUUAAAAAAUCUAGAAUACAAUCAUUCUGGUUUGCAGCCCGGACUGCAGGCAGGUAUUAAAUCGGCAGAGGGACUGGUAGUACUCCAAGCUGCCCUUCUCUGUCUAUGUUGGAAGACUUGCAGCAGUGGCACAGCAGGAGGCAGCACAUGGUUAGCGGCACUUCUGCUUCCUUCUUCCCUUGAGGUUAUAUAACUGUUAUAACAAAAAGGUGCAGUUCUCACACCAAAUCCCUGCUCUGUCCUGUGCAUACUACUGGGCAGCCUGCUUCUGUGCUCCCUGUAGCCAGUCAAAUGGCAAGAGGGGCUGCUUUUACUCCCUUGUAAGAAUGGUUGCUCUCAGGGCUCGGUUGCAGUUGCAAGGAUCAAGGGCACAUCAUUCUGAUAAAGAAGCAGUGAAGGGCAUGCACAGCUUUGUUGUAUGGCGAAAUGUGUUAAGGGGAAAUAGCUGUAAUAUUACCGUGAGAAUAGUGUUCCUAACACUCAACAAGCUUGAGAAUGCUGGUGUUUGGCUAAAAUCAACAAAAUGUAGAACCUAACACAGGCCAGUCUUUUCUCCCCCCACCCCCUCCAAGCAAACAAACAAAAACAGAUGAAAAGAAGUAAAAAAUAGCACACAAGACCUGCUUCAAACAUUCAGGAAAGACCAGGUCUAAGGGCAGGGCUGUAGUAGAUAUGCUGCCCUGGCUGCAGGUAAUAGAGUGACCUUCUCCAUCAGACCCUGGAUAUCCAGUGCUGCCACACAAGUGACUGUUCCUUUACAUACCCAGUCCAUGUAACUUGGUUUAGACAUACAUUUAAGACCAGAUUACUGUGACACCCAUCCGCAUGCUCAUGAAAGUUGGAUAGAAUGAAUAAAUCCUUCAAAAUUUACCAGAUGAUAUUGAAACUGGUAUGAAGUAAAUCCAUACCUUGCUACUUUGCUGACUGUUGCAUGGCUUCUCUUUUCCAAGGGUCUUUAAAAGCUAUUGCUUUUAAAUGACUUUAAUUCAGUGCCUUACUUGGUCCUUAGGCAUUCUCCACUGCAGGCAUUUGAUGAUGACUGCAGGGUGUGGUUUUUGAAAUCCACAGACAGACUGAUGUGUGUGCAACAUUCCCUUAUUCACAUAAUUUUAUUGCUGUGUUCAUCGGAAAAAAUGCAUUGUCAGGUGAUAUAAUUCACAUUAAAACUAGUAGCAGUAUUAUAUAACUAUAAACACUCUGUAAAAUCAAACAUUUAUGAGGGCUGUGCAGAAAAUAAUGUCUCCUUCCUUAUGAUGCUGGCCUUCAGUGUCAGAGGUGGAUGUUGGUGGCAUAGCAGUAGGGGUGGAAGCUUCCCACCAAUAUCCCAUUACGUGUUGCUGCUGUGAGACAGAAUGGGGUCUGACAUGAAAGUGUGUAUGAAGCAAAGGUGUAUCUCUGAAUUGCCCCAUGAGGAAAAAAAUUAUACCAAUUGACAUUCACUGAUGCUUGGGAAGCAUUUAUGGAGACAAAUCAGUAGAUACAAGCACCUUGAGGCAGUGGGUAGCGCAUUGCAGCACUGGAAACAGUAACAGUGUGUCACCUCUGCUGGUGUAGAGGGUUCCAAUGUGGCAUGCAGGCUGUUGUUCAUCACUGGCAAAAAGGCAGAGCUCACGGUGGUGGCUAUGCUGAAAAAUAGUGUUUUAUAGUUGAGAAUUUUCUCUGUUGAAUAUUGUCAUUAUGUUAUUUGUACCUAUCAUAUUGCCCGUGGAAACUAAUAAAAGACAUUACUUUCAGAGCAACCUAUGUUGUACCUAUUUCCAGUAUUCAAGGCAAUGGGAGAUGUACUGAAUAAAACCUGAGAUACAUAAAGCUCACAGAGAACUGCGAAGAAAGAACUGUUCCCCACACUUCUGCAAGAGAUGCCAUGCCUCCCCGUCUGCCCCAUCUCAUUUCCAAGCCCUUACAUACUCUCUCAGUUUCAGCUGGAAAAUAAUUUGCUCCUGAACUCAUACUUGGUCCAUUUGAAUCCAGGUUCCUUUUGGGAGGAGAGGCAAAAUACGUUUCCUAAAAUGCCAAAGACUGUAAUUUAAGAAGAUUUUCAGAGAAGUCUGGUAUCCUGAAUAUCUGCAUACCUGCAGCUGAAAGAACAAGGGAGUACUUCAAGAGAAGAGGGCAAGGGAAACAGGCCAGGGUCAUCUAAAUCUGAUGGAAUCUUUAAUAUUUGGAAAGUUUGAGUUGGAUUUGGCCAGGACUGCUUUCCAGAGUCACCACCAAGAAGUAAAGAAUUGUCAGUGUGAACAACCAAAGUGCAUGUCUCAUGAUACCUAAUGUUUCUCAUUAAGUUCUUGCCCCUGUCACUUUGUCAGAAUUUUGACUUUCAAGAAGCAGCAAAAUUAAUUUGUAGACUUUGGGACUGAGAUGUGAGAACACGUGCUUCAAAGACAGGUGGAGAGGUAAGACCUAAAGGGACUAGUUGUGAAAAACAAAAACAAAAACAAAAA